CUACGGGGGGCAGCAGUGGGGGAUAUUGCACAAUGGGGGAAACCCUGAUGCAGCAACGCCGCGUGAAGGAAGACGGAUUUCGGUCUGUAAACUUCUAUCAGCUGGGAAGAAAAUGACGGUACCAGAAUAAGAAGCCCCGGCUAACUAUGGGCCAGCAGCCGCGGUAAUACGUAGGGGGCAAGCGUUAUCCGGAUUUACUGGGUGUAAAGGGUUCGUAGGCGGUCACUUAAGUCAGAUGUGAAAGCCCGAGGCUCAACCUCGGGACUGCAUUUGAAACUGGGUAACUAGAGUACAGGAGAGGAAAGCGGAAUUCCUAGUGUAGCGGUGAAAUGCGUAGAUAUUAGGAAGAACACCAGUGGCGAAGGCGGCUUUCUGGACUGUUACUGACGCUCAUGAACGAAAGCGUGGGGAGCGAACAGGAUUAGAUACCCUCGUAGUC
rnacentral:rRNA from 1 species